AGCUAGUCCAUGUUGCUACUACAGAUGAUGUAGCUCAGGCUGCAAUAGCAUUACACUUGUAUGGUUUGAUAGACAGUAAUUAUAAAAGCCAGGAUCUAUUUCAUUUUUGUUCCCCAAUUUUGCGUUGUUAUUCAUCUCCAAUGUUAGUACUGUACUUGGUUAAUUGAGGUACUCUUUAGUUGCAGGUUUUAUUUAAACAAACAGUGGGAUGAAGUUUUU
rnacentral:misc_RNA from 1 species